rnacentral:lncRNA from 1 species
AGCAUUCAACAAAAAUAACAUGGAAGACCUAUUUGGAUGGAGGAGUUUGAUAUCUUUGAUCGCUCUGACCUGCAUUAAUACUUUUAUCUUGCAACGAUCCACGAUCUGAAGGUUGUGAAAUUGUAUUUGAUUGGGAUAAAACUGUUUUCUUCAGGUCUUCAAACAUUUCAUCAUAUUUCCUUUUUAAAAUUCGAUUAUCCUGUAAAACAUUUAAGACUCAUUGAUAUUUAUGUAUUACUUUAAAAUUUUGACUAUCAUACACAUACCUCUAUUAACUUCUCCAUUUGAUCGUUCAUUUUUUUCUUUUUUUUUCUCAAUAAAUCUUGCAUUCAUUUCAAUUGAAAAUCUGGUAGAAGCAGUUCAAAAAAAUUCUUUUCUUAAUGCUU